UCGGAUGCGUGUUAGGGUGUCGGAUGCGUGUUAGGUGUCGGAUGCGUGUUAGGGUGUCGGAUGCGUGUUAGGGUGUCGGAUGCGUGUUAGGGUGUCGGAUGCGUGUCAUGGG